UACGUAGGGGGCAAGCGUUGUUCGGAUUUACUGGGCGUAAAGGGCGCGCAGGCGGUCUUGAAAGUCAGGCGUGAAAGCCCCGGGCUUAACCUGGGAAUUGCGCUUGAUACUCUGAGACUGGAGUACGGGAGAGGAGAGUGGAAUUCCCAGUGUAGAGGUGAAAUUCGUAGAUAUUGGGAAGAACACCGGUGGCGAAGGCGGCUCUCUGGACCGACACUGACGCUGAGGCGCGAAAGCGUGGGGAGCAAACAGG
rnacentral:rRNA from 1 species